rnacentral:rRNA from 1 species
UACGGGGGGGGCAAGCGUUGUUCGGAAUUACUGGGCGUAAAGGGCGCGUAGGCGGUCAGACCAAGUCGAGUGUGAAAUUCCAGGGCUUAACUCUGGCACGCUCGCUCGAUACUGGUCGGCUAGAGUGUGGAAGAGGAUGCUGGAAUUCCCGGUGUAGAGGUGAAAUUCGUAGAUAUCGGGAGGAACACCAGUGGCGAAGGCGGCGAUCUGGGAAGAUACUGACGCUGAGGUGCGAAAGCGUGGGAGCAAACGGG